GGCACCACCAAUCCACUUUCCACUACCAUCCAUCACCAACCAUCUGCGCCAUUAUUUUCCUUGAUCGACCAAAGCAAGUCGGCUGAUCAGAUCCAGACCAGAUCAGAUGAGGAGGUCUAAACUGCUGCCGCUCUUCGCCAUCGCCUUGAUCAUGAUCUCAUCCGGUGCUGAUGCGUGGUGCAAAUAUGAGGCCAUUCUUCCGAAGCACUUGUGCACUCAAGAAAGUUGCAUGGCCAACUGCCAGAAGCAUCUGCAGGAGUACGUGUGCCCGGACUGCAUCAGGCUCGAGUCCGCCGCGUGCAUGAAUGAUGGAUCGCUUGCGCCCUUGGACGGGGCUUGCUAUUGCCACAUCUGCUCCAAGGAUUAGUCCAUAUUUAUUAAUUUCCAUGUCUGCUCAUCAGUCGAUGGAUUGACCGUCCAUGUUAAUUAUGGACAUGCUUAUGCAAAAUUUAGAGUUAAUUCGACUUCUCGCAAUAAAACUCUAGUUAAUUAUAAA